UUCUCUUCCUUCUUUCUUUUCAUUUUCCACUUCUCUCUCCCCUCACACCUCUUCUCUCCCCUCACGCCACCACCCCUAGCCAUUGAUCUACUCUCUCUUCCAUCACGCCGGAGUCACAAUCCCCAGCCACCACCAACUUGUAAAGCCCCUCACAGCCCAUUGAUUUCAGGUUGUUCAGGUGGAAUAUUAUUGAAGUCCAGUUAACUUGAAGAGCAUAGCUCAAAUCAGUACUCCCGAUGCAAGUUCUCUCUUGGUUCAGCCAUAUGACAAAUCCAUGUAUUCUAUAAACUAAAGGACAUAAAAUGGUUGUUGAGGAAGAUCGAAACAUUCUCCAUUUAAUUUUAUGUGAUAAAUACAUGUAUACUAGUAAGUAAGAACAAAGACUAAAAUUUUCUCUGAUUCUCGUAAAUUAAUAUGCUAGUGAAUCUUCCAUAAAUUUUUGACAGCCAAAGGUGAUCCAAUUGUCCAAUUAUUUUGAGUUAUAGAGCAUUGACAUCUUGCAUUGCAGGACUGGCCCAUGAAAUCUUUCAUAUGAUCUCUCUUUGACAAUCUAUUUUACUUUUUGAUAUGUUAUGUUUGUCAGCUUAAAGGCUAUAGAGAAGGCCAUAGUGGGCUCUGAUCUUGGUAUGACUCCAAAAAACGAUGGAGAAGUGAUAAGAUUGACUCUCCCUCAACUUACAUCAUAAAGGAGGAAGGAAUUCUUAAAAAUAGUAGCUAAACUGGCUGAAGAAGGGAAGGUACAGUGGGGUUGAGAAGAAUAUGUUAAAAAUGCAAAAAGAGUGUCACCUAAGUGACACUAUUUUUUGGGGUUGAGAAGUCAGACAUAAUUGGCCUGUAACAUUUUUUUUGGGUUUGUAACUUUCUUGAAACACAUGGGAAUUCAUCCAAUGUCUGUAUUUGACAUGGCACUGUACACUUUACCAAAGUGCACAUAUUCUAAAAAUGUAUAUGUUUAUUAAUCUUUGGUUAUAGACCAAUACAUAGGCUAUGUUAAAGUCACUAAAUUUGUCCUCUUGAAUACCACCUUCCCCUAAACUGUUUAUAGGUGGCAUUGAGGAACAUAAGAAGAGAUGCUUUAAAAGCCUGUGAAAAACUUGAGAAGGAGAAAAAGCUCUCUGAAGACAUUGCGAAGGACUUGUCAAGUGAUUUGUAGGUAACUUGAUGCUUUUGAAACUUCACAAACAUGGGAUCAACUGUAUGGAGCUUCCCCUCAUUUAGCAUACACAGGGACUUGAUCUAGAUAGGCUUUCUUUUGUAUUAAAUAGUAAGAUCACAUGCUUUUUGUAUGGAGCUUCCCCUCAUUCAUAGGAAGGCUAGUAUAGAUCUUGUCAUAAUUCUAGUUGUUUAAGUUUAAAACAAGGUUUAAUUUCAGGAUUUCUUUGUAGAUUCUAUAUUUUAAAGUUUGAACUUAUAUGAAUUUUUA